rnacentral:rRNA from 1 species
AUUGAACGCUGGCGGAAUGCUUUACACAUGCAAGUCGAACGGUAGAGGGGGCAACCCCUUGAGAGUGGCGAACGGGUGAGUAAUAUAUCGGAACGUGCCCAGUCGUGGGGAUAACGUAGCGAAAGUUACGCUAAUACCGCAUACGAUCUACGGAUGAAAGCGGGGGACUCGCAAGAGCCUCGCGCGAUUGGAGCGGCCGAUAUCAGAUUAGGUAGUUGGUGGGGUAAUGGCCUACCAAGGCGACGAUCAGUAGCUGGUCUGAGAGGACGACCAGCCACACUGGGACUGAGACACGGCCCAGACUCCUACGGGAGGCAGCAGUGGGGAAUUUUGGACAAUGGGCGCAAGCCUGAUCCAGCAAUGCCGCGUGCAGGAUGAAGGCCUUCGGUUGUAACUGCUUUGUUACGGAACGAAACGGUGAGCUCUAAUACAGUUUGCUAAU